rnacentral:rRNA from 1 species
CCCUUAGAUGUUCUGGGCCGCACGCGCGCUACACUGACGAAAUCAGCGAGCAUGUCCUACGCCGACAGGUGCGGGGAAUCUUGUCAAACUUCGUCGUGAUGGGGAUUGAUUAUUGAAAUUCUUGAUCAUCAACGAGGAAUUCCUAGUAAGCGCAAGUCAGCAGCUUGCGUUGAUUACGUCCCUGCCCUUUGUACACACCGCCCGUCGCUACUACCGAUUGAAUGGUUUAGUGAGAUCUUCGGAUUGGCGCCACUGCGGCUCAGCAAUGGGCUCGGUGGAUGCCGAAAAGUUGAUCAAACUUGAUCAUUUAGAGGAAGUAAAAGUCGUAACA